UACGUAGGGUGCGAGCGUUAAUCGGAAUUACUGGGCGUAAAGUGUGCGCAGGCGGCGUCGCGAGUCGAGUGUGAAAGCCCCGAGCUUAACUUGGGAAUUGCGCUCGAAACUACGAUGCUGGAGUGUGGCAGAGGAAGGUGGAAUUCCACGUGUAGCGGUGAAAUGCGUAGAGAUGUGGAGGAACACCGAUGGCGAAGGCAGCCUUCUGGGCCAACACUGACGCUCAUGCACGGAAGCGUGGGGAGCAAACAGG
rnacentral:rRNA from 1 species